CCGUAAUUGCUCUAUUACACAUUCUCAUGCUUGCAAAACUGAUUUCUGAAUCUGAAAAUAAAUCAAUCUGGGCUUUUUUCAGCAGUAAGGAUAAGCAGGAAAUACGUUUGCUUUUGACGACAGGAAUAACUUUUGCACAUAAGUAACUUCUAGGUCUCUAAAGUUCACUGAGAACGGCCUUUACCUUAAAGCAUGACUGCACCCCGGUCAAGGGGACAACGUGACACACAAAGGAGGUGACCCUGCAGCGUGACAGAUCUGAAUGCACGGAGUACAGAUGGAGCAUCUCCGAGGGAAGUGGUCUGAGGAAUCACAAGAUGCAUGUUGGUGGUAGGACAUAAGUGCUGCACAGCCCCUUCCAGGAGCACCUGGAGAUGCUUCCGGAAGACUCUGCCUGGACACAGUGUGCUGCUUGACCACAUCUGCCUGUUGUAAAGUGAAGUACCUAAAGCAAGCCAAAUUCAUGGAAGGGGAAGCACUUAUUUAGUGCAAUUUAGCAGUCACCUGUGCACCUGGGAAAUCUGCUUGGUGCUAAAGGUUUGCCUGAGCCCUGGUUCUGUGAGGAUAAAUGAGGACGUGUGUUGGGCAAGAGCAGCAGGAGGCAGCCAGAUCUGCACUGAGCUAACCUCAUCCCACCCAGUAUGCAAGAAAUGUAUCUGUGAAGAACUACUCGUACAACUGUGUUCAUCAGCAAAGACUUACAUUAGUGCACAGCUUCCAUUACGCCUAACUGAAACCAAAGAGAGUCAGCUCGUCUUGGACUUCAUAGCAGAGCCCAGUGAGGAUGAAAGAUCACCCCUUGUUAACAGCAAGGGGCUAAUAGGAGACUGGUGUCAGCAGCAGCAAAAAGGAAGGAGAGCGAGGCGUGCAGGAGCAGAGCAGACAUCCUUCUCACCAUCUCUUCCACGACUGUUGAACUGCUUCCUCUAAGAGAUUAAGAUGACGACCUGUCCUGCUGUCUCCGGGCUGGGAGAUAAGGUCUAUCUCUGCAUCCCAACUGUCCUCGCUGGGGAACUGCAAGGAGUGGUGCUGACAGGAGUGCAGCAAGGGAGGAGAUGGGGAGAGCAGUGAGCAGCAAAUGGAAAAUUCUGGCACUGCGGGGCUGAGCGAGAGUGUCACUGCUGACAUCACUAAAAGUAGGAUCAAACCUGAUCUAAAAAGCAAUUUGGAAUAUGAGCUUUUCUUUCCAAAUGAGCGGUAAGUGCCUUCCUUCACACGGAAUCCGGUG
ensembl:lncRNA